rnacentral:rRNA from 1 species
CCUACGGGUGGCAGCAGUGGGGAAUAUUGCACAAUGGGGGAAACCCUGAUGCAGCGACGCCGCGUGAAGGAAGAAGUAUUUCGGUAUGUAAACUUCUAUCAGCAGGGAAGAAAAUGACGGUACCUGACUAAGAAGCCCCGGCUAACUACGUGCCAGCAGCCGCGGUAAUACGUAGGGGGCAAGCGUUAUCCGGAUUUACUGGGUGUAAAGGGAGCGUAGGCGGUUCAGCAAGUCAGAAGUGAAAGCCCGGGGCUCAACUCCGGGACUGCUUUUGAAACUGUUGGACUAGAGUGCAGGAGAGGUAAGUGGAAUUCCUAGUGUAGCGGUGAAAUGCGUAGAUAUUAGGAGGAACACCAGUGGCGAAGGCGGCUUACUGGACUGUAAAUGACGCUGAGGCUCGAAAGCGUGGGGAGCAAACAGGAUUAGAUACCCUAGUAGUC